AGAGUAGGAGUNGAGCGAAUCAAUGGGAGCUUGCUCCCUGAGAUUAGCGUUCCACGGGUGAGUAACAAAUGGGUAACCUGCCUGUAAGACUGGGAUAACUUCGGGAAACCGGAGCUAAUACCGGAUAGGUUCUUUUCUCGCAUGAGGGAAGAUGGAAAGAUGGUUUCGGCUAUCACUUACAGAUGGACCCGCGGCGCAUUAGCUAGUUGGUGAGGUAAUGGCUCACCGAGGCAACGAUGCGUAGCCGACCUGAGAGGGUGAUCGGCCACAUUGGAACUGAGACACGGUCCAGACUC
rnacentral:misc_RNA from 1 species